AGAGUUUGAUCCUGGCUCAGGAUGAACGCUGGCGGCGUGCCUAAUACAUGCAAGUCGAGCGAACUGAUUAGAAGCUUGCUUCUAUGACGUUAGCGGCGGACGGGUGAGUAACACGUGGGCAACCUGCCUGUAAGACUGGGAUAACUUCGGGAAACCGAAGCUAAUACCGGAUAGGAUCUUCUCCUUCAUGGGAGAUGAUUGAAAGAUGGUUUCGGCUAUCACUUACAGAUGGGCCCGCGGUGCAUUAGCUAGUUGGUGAGGUAACGGCUCACCAAGGCAACGAUGCAUANCCGACCUGAGANGGUGAUCGGCCACACUGGGACUGAGACACGGCCCANACUCCUACGGGAGGCGGCAGUAGGGAAUCUUCCGCAAUGGACGAAAGUCUUACGGAGCNACGCCGCGUGAGUGAUUAANGGCUUUCCGGGUCCUAAAAACUCCUGUUUGGUUUAGGGGAAAGAAACAAAGUUACCNAGAAGUUAAACUGGCUUUGUUACCCUUUGAACCGGUACCCCUAAACCCAANAAAAAGNCCACCNGGCUAAACUUACCNUUGCCCCAGCCAAGCCCGCCGGGUNAAAUUAACNUUAAGGUNNGGCNAAGCCCCUUUUAUUUCCCGGGAAAAUUUUAUUUNGGGGNCGUUUAAAAGCCGNCCNCCNCCAAGGGCGGGGUUUUNC
rnacentral:rRNA from 1 species